GUGGGGAAUAUUGGACAAUGGGGGCAACCCUGAUCCAGCGAUGCCGCGUGAGUGAUGAAGGCCUUCGGGUUGUAAAGCUCUUUUGUGAGGGAGGAUGAUGACGUUACCUCACGAAUAAGCCCCGGCUAACUUCGUGCCAGCAGCCGCGGUAAUACGAAGGGGGCUAGCGUUGUUCGGAAUGACUGGGCGUAAAGCGUGCGCAGGCGGUGAUGUAAGACAGUCGUGAAAUCCCCGGGCUCAACCUGGGAAUUGCGAUUGUGACUGCAUCGCUGGAGUGCGGCAGAGGGGGAUGGAAUUCCGCGUGUAGCAGUGAAAUGCGUAGAUAUGCGGAGGAACACCGAUGGCGAAGGCGGCUCACUGGCUCGAUACUGACGCUGAGGUGCGAAAGCGUGGGGAGCAAACAGGAUUAGAAACCCCUGUAGUCC
rnacentral:rRNA from 1 species